GACGAACGCUGGCGGCGUGCUUAACACAUGCAAGUAGAACGAAGUGGCGAACGGGUGAGUAAUACGUGAGUAACCUGCCCUCCUUUUUGGGAUAAGCCUUGGACACGGGGUCUAAUACCGAAUAAAGGGGGAUGUGCUCGCGGCCUAUCAGCGUGUUGGUGGGGUGAUGGCAUACCAAGACGGUGACGGGUUGCCGGCGUGAGCGGGUGACCGGCGACAUUGGGACUGAGAGACGGCCCAGACUCCGACGGGAGGGAGCGGCGGGGGAUAUGGGACAAUGGGCGACAGCCUGAUGCAGCGAGGCGGCGUGGGGGAUGCAGGCUUUCGGGUUGUAAACCUCUUUCGCUAUCGACCGGGUAGGUGGUGAAGAAGCGCCGGCUAACUACGUGCCAGCAGCCGCGGUAAUUC
rnacentral:rRNA from 1 species